rnacentral:lncRNA from 1 species
CACAGGUCUGACUGCUUGUUGCAGGUGGCUGCCUUUCCAAAGGUGACUGACAAACAAAGUUACAUUUGACCUACAAGAGAGAACAAGGUUCAAGGAUGCAAUAGUUCUACAAGAAAUGGGGGUGAAGCGGAGUCAAAAUCUCAGGAAACAAACUACACAACAUAAAAGAGAUUUAGGGUCCAGUGUAUCAUUGGGUGAUCUUCAUACCAUCAACAACUUUACAGAAAUAUAAAAAUCAAAAUACCAAGAUUCAUG